rnacentral:misc_RNA from 1 species
AACUUUUGGCAAUGGAUCUCUUGGCUCUCGCAUCGAUGAAGAACGCAGCGAAAUGUGAUACGUAAUGUGAAUUGCAGAACUCAGUGAAUCAUCGAAUCUUUGAACGCACCUUGCACUCUUUGGUAUUCCGAAGAGUAUGCCUGUUUGAGCGUCGUGAACCUCUCAACCCCGCCGGGCUUUUCGGAGCUCGGUAGCCGGGCUUGGACCUUGAGCGCGCUGUCCCUUCACAAGGACUCGCUCGAAAUGCAGAUCGAGCUGCCUCACCGCGGUCUGAAUCUUGGCGUGAUAAGACUAUCUCAUUCGCCUCGAUGACGCGGCUGACGGCUCACGUCACACCUCAUAAUAGUCGAAUCAAUAGACCUCAAAUCAGGCAGGACUACCCGCUGAACUUAAGCAUAUCAAUAAGCGGAGGCU